rnacentral:rRNA from 1 species
GAUCCUGGCUCAGGAUGAACGCUAGCUACAGGCUUAACACAUGCAAGUCGAGGGGCAGCAUUUCAGUUUGCUUGCAAAAUGGAGAUGGCGACCGGCGCACGGGUGAGUAACACGUAUCCAACCUGCCGAUAACUCGGGGAUAGCCUUUCGAAAGAAAGAUUAAUACCCGAUGGCAUAAUUAGACCGCAUGGUCUUGUUAUUAAAGAAUAUCGGUUAUCGAUGGGGAUGCGUUCGAUUAGG